rnacentral:rRNA from 1 species
AGUGAACGCUGGCGGUAGGCCUAACACAUGCAAGUCGAACGGCAGCACAGUAAGAGCUUGCUCUUGCGGGUGGCGAGUGGCGGACGGGUGAGGAAUACAUCGGAAUCUACUUUUUCGUGGGGGAUAACGUAGGGAAACUUACGCUAAUACCGCAUACGACCUACGGGUGAAAGCAGGGGAUCUUCGGACCUUGCGCGAUUGAAUGAGCCGAUGUCGGAUUAGCUAGUUGGCGGGGUAAAGGCCCACCAAGGCGACGAUCCGUAGCUGGCCUGAGAGGAUGAUCAGCCACACUGGAACUGAGACACGGUCCAGACUCCUACGGGAGGCAGCAGUGGGGAAUAUUGGACAAUGGGCGCAAGCCUGAUCCAGCCAUACCGCGUGGGUGAAGAAGGCCUUCGGGUUGUAAAGCCCUUUUGUUGGGAAAGAAAAGCAGCAGGUUAAUACCCCGCUGUUCUGACGGUACCCAAAGAAUAAGCACCGGCUAACUUCGUG